AGGGAGAAAUUCAUUCGCGUUUCGACGCAGACGUCGGGGGGGGUAGAGCGACGAAAAAUAGGCGCGUUCGCGCGCGUCGUUUUUCGCGCCCUCCGUUCUUCGAUUCGGCGACGAACGCGUGCACUUUUCUCCUGGUAGGACGUCGCGAUCCGUUGGGCGUCGGUCUAAGGUUCGCGGUGGAGUCCGUUCGUCAUAGCGUACGAACGGACCCGCGUAUUUUCCCGGCCGACUCGCUCGACGGUAUACGAAAGGUUCGGGGCCGCUCUUUGGAGCGUCCGAUGCGCGGCAAGCGCGCCAGAUGCGUCGGCGAUCGGACUUGGUGCCGAUUCCGACCUCUGGUGACUGUUGGUCGCGCGCUAUUUCUCGGACAGACUUCGCAACCGAUCUGCGACGCUAUAGCUUUGGGUAAUUUCAGGACCCGUCUUGAAACACGGACCAAGGAGUCUAGCAUGUGCGCGAGUCAUUGGGAAUAUCACUAAACCUAAAGGCACAAUGAAAGUAAAGGUCUUCCUCGCGAAGACCGAGGGAAGAAGGACGGUUCCACCGUUAAACGUGACCGUCCCACAUUCCCGGGGSGUCUCGUUCUCAUUGCGAGAUGAGACGCACCAAGAGCGUACACGCUGGGACCCGAAAGAUGGUGAACUAU
rnacentral:rRNA from 2 species